GACGAACGCUGGCGGCGUGCUUAACACAUGCAAGUCGAACGAAGUGGCGAACGGGUGAGUAACGCGUAAUCAACCUGCCCUUCAGAGGGGGACAACAGUUGGAAACGACUGCUAAUACCGCAUCCUGCAGGAGGGGAUUUCGUCUGAUUAGCUAGUUGGAGGGGUAACGGCCCACCAAGGCGAUGCUCAGUAGCCGGUCUGAGAGGAUGAACGGGCACAUUGGGACUGAGAAACGGCCCAGACUCCUACGGGAGGCAGCAGGGGGGAAUGUGCCGCAAUGGACGGAAGUCUGACGGAGCAACGCCGCGUGAGUGAUGACGGCUUGCGGGUUGUAAAGCUCUGUUAAUCGGGACGCGGUACCGGAAUAGAAAGCCACGGCUAACUACGUGCCAGCAGCCGCGGUAAUUC
rnacentral:rRNA from 1 species